rnacentral:tRNA from 1 species
GGGUGGGGGCGUAGAGGAUUAAAGUACAUGGCUAUGAAUCACGGUGUCAGGGGUUCGAAUCCCUUCUCGCCCA